rnacentral:rRNA from 1 species
UACGGAGGGAGCUAGCGUUGUUCGGAAUUACUGGGCGUAAAGCGCGCGUAGGCGGCUUUUGUAAGUUAGAGGUGAAAAGCCCGGAGCUCAAACUCCGGAAACUGCCUUUUAAAAACUGCAUCGCUUUGAAAAUCCAGGAAGAGGUGAGUGGAAAUUCCGAGUGUAGAGGGUGAAAAAUUCGUUAGAUAAUUUCGGGAAAAAGAAAAC